GACCAAUCAGUGUCCGCUAUUCGUGACAGUCCGCCAUAUUUUUGAGAUCAGUGAGGAUGACCCAUUGAACUAUAAAUAAACUGGAAGGCUAACUCAGGGGGGGGGGGGAAAUUGAAGCCAGUGCAUUUUAGUUUUUCUGAGUUAUGAGCAGAAAUACUCAACACUGAACGUUGGGCUAUAUAUCAAAUUGAAGCUAUUGAAAAACGCUAUUUGGGGUAGAAAUUUCAAGAUUUUAGCUAAAAGGGAANNNNNNNNNNNNNNNNNNNNAGGGAAAUAUUGAAAAACUACAAACAUAAUUACCGAUAAUUUGCCGUUUUGCAGUUGUUUUUGUAUUUUUUAAAUAUUUUUCUUUUGGCUGAAGUCUUAAAAUUUCCACACCGAAUAGCAAUUUUCAAUAGCUUCACUUUGAUAUGUAGCCCGACGUUUGGGGUCAAGUAUCUCUGCUCAUAACUCAGAAAAACUAUUUUGGCUUCAUCAAAUCAUAGGCCUUCAUCAUAGCAGUUAGCCUUCCAGUUUAUUUAUAGUUCAAUGGGAUGACCUCCCACCCAACACCGUUGGUGACCCACGCCCGCGAUAU
rnacentral:lncRNA from 1 species